rnacentral:lncRNA from 1 species
GGAAAGUCAAAACCUAAGUCAUCGGGUGUUAGUUAUGCGCAUCACUUGCAUGUUGAAGUCUCUUUUGUUGUCAUUGAUGUGCAACUUCAAGAGCUUAAUGAUUGUUUUGAUGUAGUGAGUAGUAAUUUGCUUCUUGGGAUGGGUAGCUUGAAUCCGGUCAAUUCUUUCUCUAAUUUUGACAAAGGUAAAAUCAUGACUUUAGCAAAGUGUUAUCCAAGUGAGUUUGAUGAUGGAAAAAUUAGAGAUUUGAGCUAUCAACUCGAUACUUUCAUUAUUCAUAUGCGAAGUGGUAGUCCCAAGUUCUCUAACUUGCAAGGAAUUCGUGAUUUGGCAGAGGCAUUAGUUGAAGCAAAUCUCGCGGAGACUUAUUCACUUGUUUAUUUACUUGUAAAGUUGACUUUGAUUUUACCUGUUGCUACGGCAACUGUGGAGUUAAUAUUACAAAGAAAAGAUUGCAAGAUAUGAGGGAAAAUGGAUGGGAAUCUUUGUUGGAUGAUGUUUCCUCAUUUUGUGAUGUGCAUGAUAUCUUGAUUCCCAAGUUGGAUGAGUCUUAUUUUCCCGGAAAGUCAAAACGUAAGUCUUCAGGUGUUAGUUAUGUGCACCACUUGCGUGUUGAAGUCUUUUUUGUUGUCAUUGAUGUGCAACUUCAAGAGCUUAAUGACCGUUUUGAUGUAGUGAGUAGUGAUUUACUUCUUUGGAUGGGUAGCUUGAAUCUGGUCAAUUCUUUCUCUAAUUUUGACAAAGGUAAAAUCAUGACUUUAGCAAAGUG